rnacentral:rRNA from 1 species
UACCAGACUCCUACGGGAGGCAGCAGUGGGAAAUUUUGCGCAAUGGGGGAAACCCUGACGCAGCAACGCCGCGUGCGGGACGAAGGCCCUCGGGUCGUAAACCGCUUUCAGCAGGGAAGACCACGACGGUACCUGUUUAGAAAGCUCCGGCUAACUACGUGCCAGCAGCCGCGGUAAUACGUAGGGAGCAAGCGUUGUCCGGAAUUACUGGGCGUAAAGGGCGCGUAGGUGGGCGCUUAAGUCAGGUGUGAAAACUCCGGGCUCAACCUGGAGACUGCACUUGAAACUGGGCGUCUUGAGGGCAGGAGAGGAAAGUGGAAUUCCUAGUGUAGCGGUGAAAUGCGUAGAUAUUAGGAGGAACACCAGUGGCGAAGGCGACUUUCUGGACUGUACCUGACGCUGAGGCGCGAAAGCGUGGGUAGCGAACGGGAUUAGAUACCCCUGUA